AGGCACAGUUAAAAUGUCAAUCAUCACAAGAUCAAACUUCAAUACCAGAGUAACCCUAAAUCAUCCUGAUUUGUCAAAAGACUACAUAGAACAGUCUAGAGGUGGAAACUGAUAGAUCAUUUGAAGAGGAUCCUGUUAAAGCAGUCAUAAAUAUGUUUCACAAAACAAUGAACACCUUGUUACAGCAUAUCUUGAACAGCCUAGAACAGAGAACAACCUGGAGGUGGAAACUGAUGGAUCACUUGAAGAGGAAACUGUUAAAGCACAGAGACAUGUACCAAGGAACAAAAAGACAUGAUUGUUGCAGCAUAUCUUGAACAACCUGGCAUAAGUGUUUACUAACAACACCACCUCAACAGAACUUCAAGAUAAAGAAAUUUUAUGUGAUGAGAACCUCAAUAAAGAAGAUAGAAAAAGAUCAAUGGUUUUAGUUUUCAAUGAAGAAGCUGAUGUCACAAAUGUCUUUUCUUAGUCAGGGAGUCCAGAAACAAGUUUUGAUUCUUUAAAAUUGAAAGUGACUUUUUGUAUAAUCAUUCAUUUCUUGUAUCUGGAUUAAUUGACUAAGUAAGAAAAAAAAGAAGAUAUUAAAUCCAUGGAAUUAUCCAAGAAAAAAAAUCAUUUGAAGGAACUGCUAAGAAGCAAAAAUUGUGUUUCCAAGGAUUCGAAGAAUAGAAUUAAUG